UGGGGAAUAUUGCACAAUGGGGGAAACCCUGAUGCAGCCAUGCCGCGUGUGUGAAGAAGGCCUUCGGGUUGUAAAGCACUUUCAGCGGGGAGGAAGGGCAGUAAGCUAAUACCUUGCUGCAUUGACGUUACCCGCAGAAGAAGCACCGGCUAACUCCGUGCCAGCAGCCGCGGUAAUACGGAGGGUGCAAGCGUUAAUCGGAAUUACUGGGCGUAAAGCGCACGCAGGCGGUUGGAUAAGCUAGAUGUGAAAGCCCCGGGCUCAACCCGGGAACUGCAUUUAGAACUGUCCGACUAGAGUCUUGUAGAGGGGGGUAGAAUUCCAGGUGUAGCGGUGAAAUGCGUAGAGAUCUGGAGGAAUACCGGUGGCGAAGGCGGCCCCCUGGACAAAGACUGACGCU
rnacentral:rRNA from 1 species